rnacentral:lncRNA from 1 species
UAUGCUUACUUUCAUAUCAUCUGCAGGAGGGGAGCUCUGUGGUUCGCUGGCUUCUGACGUGAACAAAACCAAGCCACCAAACUCUUCAACAUUUCAAGCAAUGUGAACACCCCUUGUACCGUGGAGGAGUCCAAGUCUAUCCCCCUCAAAUUCUUGAUUGAGAAGCACGCUGGUGGUGUAGAGGGGGGUCGGGAUAACCUCUUAGCUGUCAACCCAGGGGGUUCAUGUACUUCUAUGAUCCCUAAAGAAUCAUCUGCAGGAGGGGAGCUCUGUGGUUCGCUGGCUUCUGACGUGAACAAAACCAAGCCACCAAACUCUUCAACACCUCAGGCAAUGUGAACACCCCCUGUACCAUGGAGGAGUCCAAGUCUAUCCCCCUCAAGUACUUGAUUGAGAAGCACGCUGGUGGUGAAGAGGGGGGUUGGGAUAACCUCUUAGCUGUCAACCCAGGGGGUUCAUGUACUUCUAUGAUCCCUAAAGAGAGGGGAGCUCUGUGGUUCGCUGGCUUCUGACGUGAACAAAACCAAGCCACCAAACUCUUCAACAUCUCGGGCAAUGUGAACACCCCUUGUACCGUGGAGGAGUCCAAGUCUAUCCCCCUCAAGUUCCUGAUUGAGAAGCACGCUGGUGGUGUAGAGUGGGGUCGGGAUAACCUCUUAGCUGUCAACCAAGGGGGUUCAUGUACUUCUAUGAUCCCUAAAGAGAGGGGAGCUCUGUGGUUCGCUGGCUUCUGACGUGAACAAAACCAAGCCACCAAACUCUUCAACAUCUCAGGCAAUGUGAACACCCCUUGUACCAUGGAGGAGUCCAAGUCUAUCCCCCUCAAGUUCUUGAUUGAGAAGCACGCUGGUGGUGUAGAGGGGGGUUGGGAUAACCUCUUAGCUGUCAACCCAGGGGGUUCAUGUACUUCUAUGAUCCCUAAAGAAUCAUCUGCAGGAGGGGAGCUCUGUGGUUCGCUGGCUUCUGACGUGAACAAAACCAAGCUACCAAACUCUUCAAUAUCUCAGGCAAUGUGAACACCCCUUGUACCGUGGAGGAGUCCAAGUCUAUCCCCCUCAAGUACUUGAUUGAGAAGCACGCUGGUGGUGUAGAGGGGGGUUGGGAUAACCUCUUAGCUGUCAACCCAGGGGGUUCAUGUACUUCUAUGAUCCCUAAAGAGUACCUCAUUUUACAUCUUUGGUAGAUGGAUGGCUCUUUGCACUUUGACCAAUGAGCUUAUCUAUAUUUCAUCUAUCAAGCACCGAUGAUUUGAUAUUAUCUCCAGCAAUGCAAUAAUUGAAUAAACCAACCUCACACAACUGAUAA